UCUGCUCUGUACUUGAAGCUA
rnacentral:piRNA from 1 species